UUAGGAAUCUUACACAAUGGGGGCAACCCUGAUGUAGCGACGCCGCGUGGAGGAAGAAGGUUCUCGGAUCGUAAACUCCUUUUGUAUGGGAAGAAUAAAUGACGGUACCAUACGAAUAAGUGACUGCUAACUACGUGCCAGAAGCAUCGGUGAUGCGUAGGUCACGAACGUUAUCCGGAGUUAUUGGGUGUAAAGAGAUGCGUAGGCGUCUCAGUUAGUCUAAUGUCAAAGACCCCAGCUUACCUGGGGAAAGGCACCGGAUACUGCUGAGAUUGAGAUAAGAAGGGGCAAAUGGAAUUCCCGGUGUAGCGGUAAAAUGCGUUGAUAUCGGGAGGAACACCAGAGGCGAAGGCGAUUUGCUGGUCUUUAUCUGACGCUAAGGCUCGAAAGCGUGGGGAGCAAAACGG
rnacentral:rRNA from 1 species